UGGCAAGAGGGUGUAUCCCAUAAAUAGAUUUACAAUCUACCACCUACUUCGGCCAUCUUACC
rnacentral:tRNA from 1 species